UACGUAGGGUGCAAGUGUUAAUCGGAAUUACUGGGCGUAAAGCGUGCGCAGGCGGUUGUGCAAGACCGAUGUGAAAUCCCCGGGCUUAACCUGGGAAUGGCAUUGGUGACUGCACGGCUAGAGUGUGUCAGAGGGGGGUAGAAUUCCACGUGUAGCAGUGAAAUGCGUAGAGAUGUGGAGGAAUACCGAUGGCGAAGGCAGCCCCCUGGGAUAACACUGACGCUCAUGCAACGAAAGCGUGGGGGAGCAA
rnacentral:rRNA from 1 species